UUGUGGAGGAGGACGCCGAAGGUGGGGCUAAUGACUGGGGUGAAGUCGUAACAAGGUAGCCGUACCGGAAGGUGCGGCUGGAUCACCUCCUAACAGGGAGACAACAAAAUGUUUAAUAUUAUUAUUUUGUCACCUUAGGUCGAUCGGUAUCUCACGUUCUUAAUUUAUUAAGAAUUUCAUUUCCUAAGUUUUUCUAGGUCACACCCAUUAUUUUUCCUGGGCCAUUAGCUCAGGUGGUUAGAGCGCACCCCUGAUAAGGGUGAGGUCCCUGGUUCAAGUCCAGGAUGGCCCAUAUCUCUAUGUUGGGGGUAUAGCUCAGUUGGUAGAGCGCCUGCUUUGCAAGCAGGAUGUCAGCGGUUCGAGUCCGCUUACCUCCACUGAUUACCACCUCUUCCAUAACCGGUGAUAAAGGAAAUGUUUUGAGUUGUGAUCAAAUUCUGAAAGAAUCUAGCUUCCUAAUGAAAUCAUUAAGAUGCUGGACUCAUUGAAUUAAUUUCAUUGUUUUCAGAGAACCUUGACAACUGCAUAGAUUAUUUUUAAAGACAAUAAGCAUCUUUAAUGAUGCAGAUUUAUUAUUUGUGCGAAUGCAUUAAUAACAAUUCUAUUAAGCUGAUGCUUCAAUUUUUGAAGUUAUUGGUCAAGCUACAA
rnacentral:misc_RNA from 1 species